GACGAACGCUGGCGGCGUGCUUAACACAUGCAAGUCGAACGGAAAGGCCCAGCUUGCUGGGUGCUCGAGUGGCGAACGGGUGAGUAACACGUGGGUGAUCUGCCUCUAACUUCGGGAUAAGCUUGGGAAACUGGGUCUAAUACCGGAUAGGACAAUCGUUUAGUGUCGGUUGUGGAAAGUUUUUUCGGUUAGGGAUGAGCCCGCGGCCUAUCAGCUUGUUGGUGGGGUAAUGGCCUACCAAGGCGUCGACGGGUAGCCGGCCUGAGAGGGUGGACGGCCACAUUGGGACUGAGAUACGGCCCAGACUCCUACGGGAGGCAGCAGCGGGGAAUAUUGCACAAUGGGCGCAAGCCUGAUGCAGCGACGCCGCGUGGGGGAUGACGGCCUUCGGGUUGUAAACCCCUUUCGACAGGGACGAAGCUUUGGUGACGGUACCUGUAUAAGAAGCACCGGCUAACUACGUG
rnacentral:rRNA from 1 species